rnacentral:rRNA from 1 species
UACGUAGGGGGCAAGCGUUGUCCGGAUUCAUUGGGCGUAAAGAGCGUGUAGGCGGCCAGGUAGGUCGGUUGUGAAAACUGGAGGCUCAACCUUCAGAGGUCGACCGAAACCAUCUGGCUAGAGUCCGGGAGAGGAGAGUGGAAUUCCUGGUGUAGCGGUGAAAUGCGCAGAUAUCAGGAGGAACACCGGUGGCGAAGGCGGUUCUCUGGGCAUUACCUGACGCUGAGGAGCGAAAGCAUGGGGAGCGAACAGG